rnacentral:rRNA from 1 species
UAACAAGGUCUCCGUUGGUGAACCAGCGGAGGGAUCAUUACUGAGUUUACGCUCUAUAACCCUUUGUGAACAUACCUAUAACUGUUGCUUCGGCGGGUAGGGUCUCCGUGACCCUCCCGGCCUCCCGCCCCCGGGCGGGUCGGCGCCCGCCGGAGGAUAACCAAACUCUGAUUUAACGACGUUUCUUCUGAGUGGUACAAGCAAAUAAUCAAAACUUUUAACAACGGAUCUCUUGGUUCUGGCAUCGAUGAAGAACGCAGCGAAAUGCGAUAAGUAAUGUGAAUUGCAGAAUUCAGUGAAUCAUCGAAUCUUUGAACGCACAUUGCGCCCGCCAGCAUUCUGGCGGGCAUGCCUGUUCGAGCGUCAUUUCAACCCUCAAGCUCUGCUUGGUGUUGGGGCCCUACAGCUGAUGUAGGCCCUCAAAGGUAGUGGCGGACCCUCCCGGAGCCUCCUUUGCGUAGUAACUUUACGUCUCGCACUGGGAUCCGGAGGGACUCUUGCCGUAAAACCCCCCAAUUUUCCAAAGGUUGACCUCGGAUCAGGUAGGAAUACCCGCUGAACUUAAGCAUA